rnacentral:lncRNA from 1 species
GGGGAAGCCGAUGGGCAAGGAGACGAGCUUCCUGGGGAUUUCUCUCGCGGACCAUGCGGUAUCCGACUUCAGCCCCCGCGUGCUCAAGAUCACCUCCUCCCGGGUAAUCUCAUUUCUAGGGUUUUCCUGCUCCUUGCUUCGUCCUCGUCUUCUUCUUCUUCUUCUUCUUCUUCUUCUGCAAUUUCUCUCUGGAUCUGACGGGAGAAGUUUCUUUGCCUCUUUGCUUCUUUGCUUUGUCGUUUCUUUGCUCCUGCUCCAGAGGAGGGUGCCCUUGGGCGGCGGAGUGAGGGCCCAGACGGCGACCACCUCGCCCUCGGCCACCGUCUCCUCGCCGGAGGCGAAGAAGACGCUGAGAAAGGGCACCGUCAUCAUCACCGGCGCCUCCUCCGGGCUCGGCCUCGCCACCGCCAAGGCCCUCGCAGAGACCGGCAAAUGGCACGUCAUCAUGGCCUGCCGAGACUUCCUCAAGGCCGAGAGAGCCGCCAAAUCCGUCGGCAUGAACAAGGAGAACUACUCCGUCAUCCACCUCGACCUCGCCUCCCUCGACAGCGUCCGCCAGUUCGCCGACAACUUCCGCCGCUCCGGCCGCCCCCUCGACGCCCUCGUCUGCAACGCCGCCGUCUACCUCCCCACCGCCAAGGAGCCAACUUUCACCGCCGACGGCUUCGAGCUCAGCGUGGGCACCAACCACCUCGGCCAUUUCCUCCUCGCCCGCCUCCUCCUCGACGACCUCAAGAAGUCCGAUUACCCCAGCCGCCGCCUCAUCAUCGUCGGCUCCAUCACCGGUAAGCUCUCUCCCUUCCCUCCCUCCCUUGUCCACCGGCGGCGCCGCUGAUAUUUUCCGGCGAUCUCCAGGCAACACGAACACUUUGGCCGGGAA